rnacentral:rRNA from 2 species
UCCCAUUCCGAACACAGAAGUUAAGCUCUUUAGCGCCGAUGGUACUUGGUGGGAAGCUGCCUGGGAGAGUAGGACGUAGCCACGU